UACGGGGGGGGCAAGCGUUGUUCGGAAUUACUGGGCGUAAAGGGCUCGUAGGUGGCCAACUAAGUCAGACGUGAAAUCCCUCGGCUUAACCGGGGAACUGCGUCUGAUACUGGAUGGCUUGAGUUUGGGAGAGGGAUGCGGAAUUCCAGGUGUAGCGGUGAAAUGCGUAGAUAUCUGGAGGAACACCGGUGGCGAAGGCGGCAUCCUGGACCAUAACUGACGCUGAGGCGCGAAAGCUAGGGGAGCAAACGGG
rnacentral:rRNA from 1 species